CGGGACGUAGCGCAGCCUGGUAGCGCAUCUGCUUUGGGAGCAGAGGGUCGCUGGUUCGAAUCCAGUCGUCCCGA
rnacentral:tRNA from 1 species